rnacentral:rRNA from 1 species
UACGGAGGGUGCAAGCGUUAUCCGGAUUCACUGGGUUUAAAGGGUGCGUAGGUGGGUUGGUAAGUCAGUGGUGAAAUCUCUAGGCUUAACCUGGAAACUGCCAUUGAUACUAUCAGUCUUGAAUAUUGUAGAGGUCAGCGGAAUAUGUCAUGUAGCGGUGGAAUGCUUAGAUAUGACAUAGAACACCAAUGGCGAAGGCAGCUUGCUGGGCAUAUAUUGACACUGAGGCACGAAAGCGUGGGGAUCAAACAGG